GACGAACGCUGGCGGCGUGCUUAACACAUGCAAGUCGAACGAAGUGGCGAACGGGUGAGUAACGCGUAAUCACCCUGCCCUUCCGAGGGGGACAACAGUUGGAAACGACUGCUACUACCGCAUACUGAAGGAGGGGAUUGCGUCUGUUUAGCUAGUUGGAGGGGUAACGGCCCACCAAGGCGAUGAUCAGUAGACGGUCUGAGAGGAUGAACGGCCACAUUGGGACUGAGACACGGACCAGACUCCUACGGGAGGAAGCAGUGGGGAAUCGUCCGAAAUGGACGAAAGUCUGACGGAGCAACGCCGCGUGAGUGAUGACGGCCUUCGGGUUGUAAAGCUCUGUUAAUCGGGACGCGGUACCGGAAUAGAAAGCCACGGCUAACUACGUGCCAGCAGCCGCGGUAAUC
rnacentral:rRNA from 1 species